rnacentral:rRNA from 1 species
AACGAACGCUGGCGGCAUGCCUAACACAUGCAAGUCGAACGAAGGCUUCGGCCUUAGUGGCGCACGGGUGCGUAACGCGUGGGAAUCUGCCCUUGGGUUCGGAAUAACAGUGAGAAAUUACUGCUAAUACCGGAUGAUGUCGAAAGACCAAAGAUUUAUCGCCCAGGGAUGAGCCCGCGUAGGAUUAGCUAGUUGGUGAGGUAAAGGCUCACCAAGGCGACGAUCCUUAGCUGGUCUGAGAGGAUGAUCAGCCACACUGGGACUGAGACACGGCCCAGACUCCUACGGGAGGCAGCAGUGGGGAAUAUUGGACAAUGGGCGAAAGCCUGAUCCAGCAAUGCCGCGUGAGUGAUGAGGGCCUUAGGGUUGUAAAGCUCUUUUACCCGGGAUGAUAAUGACAGUACCGGGAGAAUAAGCCCCGGCUAACUCCGCGCCAGCCGCCGCCGUAACAC